CACUGCUCUCGGUUUAUCUGUCUUUGGCUUGGCAUGGACUCUUGGCUUGGCUGCUUGGCUUCUUUCGUUUCCUCCUCUGUGCAUCGUACAUAAGCGAACAGCUGUUAUGUUGUUGCUAAGCCGGAAACAAAGCAUGUGAAUGUUUUUUUUUUUUGGCACAGCGUCGUUUGGAAAGUGCACUUCCUUGUUCUGACCUUGCCUUUUAUGGGCUGGAGCGAUAUGAUUCGUAAAUAUGCCACGGCGAAGUUGUCGAAGAUGCGAGAGUGCUACGCUGUUAGAACAAUUCAUCGGUGCAUUCAAGUGUUACCUAUUAUAAGCUGCCAAAAGACCAAGCAGUGCGAAGCUCUUGGCUGACAGUGGUGCCUGCUAAUUUCCACUGCAAGGAUUUCGUCCACGAAUGUUAUCAUAGGUUACGCGCGACUCCAGAGGCAAUUUGGAAUCUUGGCACGAAAUCGUCUGAUGAAAAUCCGAGGUGCCCGACGCAUAACAUUUUGAACGUGCCACGGAGGAUCAAGGCAAAAAACGAGAGCAAAAAAUGGUGCACGCUGAAGGCGGAAAUGAAGCAUGAUCUGGCUUGCAUCUGGUCAUGAAGAAAUUGCUGACACGUUAGUUGCAAUCCACCUCCACCAACAGACAUUUUGACACCACUUUUAAAUCUGCCCUCAAAGUUACAACCUGUGCUUCGAGGGUGGAAAACAAAGAUCGCCAUUCCGAUUAGCUGCUAUCUCCCAGUUCAAGCACUUUUGUGUCUGGACACUGGUUCCUGUGGAUGGGGUGUUACAAGCUUUACUGUCUGAUAUAGAAGUGAUGAGCAUCCAUAAGGACACAUGCCAGAAAGGGAGUCUCUUUGGGAUGACAAACCCUCAUCACCUCAUGAGGAUACAAUGGUUGACGAAUGGUUCUCAAGCACAUCGAAACUUCAAACAAAUAAUUCAUGAAAAAGCCAGUCAGUGCUAGCACCAGGAAUUGAACGUGGGCCAUCCUGCUACCAGUCAGAGAUGUUCAGUGGUGUAGCCACGGCGGGGCUAGGGGGGGCUCGAGCCCCCCCCCCCCCCUACCUGCCACGGACCGACCCACACAAAUCGUGCAAAUCCGAGAACAUAAUAUAUGGGGGGGGGGGGGGACCAGUGUCCCUAUCGCGAAAGUUCUUGCAGUUUUUGGCGUCUAUCUAAGAAGCAUUCUUGAAUGGUUUUCAAAGUAUGAGCUUUUCAAAAUACUUCCAAUCUCGUGACACCACUUCAUUGGUCAUGACAGCCUAUACAUGUAAUCGUACUGUGAACGUCUAAAUCAACUAUUUCGUUCCCUUUUUUAAUCCUCAGUUUGAAGUGUGCACAAGUACGUGUGUGUUGUCGACACAGGAUCAGCGAGGGGGGGGGGAGUUUUCGUAUCGAGCCCCCCCCUACCUUUGAGGUCGGGCUAUGCCACUGGAGAUGUUACAUUUCAGGCGCUCAUUGACUUUUGGUGAAUUACUUGUUGACUUUGUCCCAAGGUGGAGCUCACUACAGCUCAUUUGCUAUCUGUUAAUGUUGUGGCGUGUGUUGCGUUUUUCUCUUUGUGUGUUCCAGACUCAGAACGGUUAAUUUGGAUCAGGUCAGGUACGUUUCAUUUAGACAUGGCAAACAUAAAGUGGUGUUUCUCAACACAACUUAGCAGUGGUCUUCAUGCAAUACUGCUACGGCCAUUAAGCGUGAAUAGAAACCUAGCCAGAGCAGCUGAUACACAGAGAGAACAUAGCCCGUGUGUGUUUGUCUUUUCCACCGCAGCCCUUGGGUUUCCUCCCUGAUGGCUACACAUGUCAGGGAUAGGUUUCAGAACCGGUAGUUCCCGCCAAGUGUGAAUUGCUUUUCAGGGGAUCAUCACGCUGGCAGAUGAAACAUAUGGUUGAAAUUAUUUGCAGGACAGGAAUUGCGCAGCUUCACACAAAUACUACUACUACGACGUAAGAGUGGUUUAAAAUCUAUAUUUUUUGUGUUCCUGACAUUAUCGCACAAGAUGUAGUAUCCACUAUGAUCCUUUAUGUGGGGGGUAUGUACGGUGCAAUCAAUAGAUGCUAUUUACAAAUCUGUGUUUUCUACUGUGUUGAAAUUGGGUAGUUUGUAUCUGAGAGCCAUAGUGAAACACAGGCUCUCGAGAAACAUGGCAACACAGCAGGGGCUCUGGAUGCUGCCUAAAUUUCCAGAACACACAGCUCAAGGCAGCGGUUAAAUAACAAGUGGUUAGAGAAAUCCAAGAUAGUUGCAUCCGUAAGCAGUCCGCUGUUGGAUUUGCUUCUGUCAGAGAUACGUUAUCUCAAAGGGAACGCACGGACACACUCAGAAUGAUACUAGGGCUGCGUGUGAAAUAGAAUGAGGAGAGGGGAAGAUAUAUAACCCUUUUUCUUGUCUGUUAUUCUAUUGGUUAAAUUGUCAUUUUCUUAGCAGCAUAUGUGUAUAUUCCAGAGUCUGCUAAUAAAUAUAUCAGUUUAGAGCUAGCAGUCGCAUUGUAGAUGUCUCAUACUGCCCUUGGUUGCUUGUGAUUCACUAUGGCCAUGCUUGCUAAUGCAAAAACAGAAAAGAAAAAAAGACAAUAGAAAAACACGAAAAGAGCGACCUAAAAAGCUGCCUGUUCUAGAGCUGACAUGGAGGCAAUGCAAUGAGGUAACAUGUUCCAUUAAUGAACUGUGCAUAGUAGUACAUAUCACAACGGCAACCGAUUAUUCAGAUUUUUCUUGAAGUACUUUUUUUUUUUUUUAGCUUUGUUUGCACAGUCUAUUAUUGGAGCUUUAUGUGAUUCCCCUCUUGAGAUACUUUAAGAUUGCUGAUGCUGUGCAGUUUGUUAAUUUUGAAACUGUACUGUGCUGAGGUACAAAAACAGAAUUGUCAUAUCUGCAUUUGAGCACAUAGGAAUAAUUUGCAAGUACUUUACUUGUUGACAUUAAUAUUUGCACCAGGUCACAACAUUGUUGAUUUAUGGAAAAUGUAAAUAAAUAUAUUUAUUUGCUUGCC